rnacentral:lncRNA from 1 species
AGAUCCUGUGCCUGAAAGGGAAACACCAAGAUUUCCGGAGCCACGUUUCCUGAUAGACUGUAAAGAGCUGGCCUUGAAAGUGCAGCAUAAAGAGAAGCUGGAAGAGUGUUCUCAGCAGUCGCUGCUGAGAUGCUAGUCAGCACACUGUUUUAUGGAUUUCAAAUAAAUGUAGCAGUUGACAGAUUUCUGAAGGUAGGCAAUGGUUAAGUUUUGAUAGGAACUAGUUUAUAAGAUCAAAACAAAAAGGUUGAUUCUGUCUAAUGCAUGAAUGAAUAUAUGUAGUCUGAUCUCUUUCCAUUUAGGAAUAAUCUUUUAGGAAGUUUUUGUCUUUAUGCCACAUUUAAAUAACACGUAACCCUCCUUCCCAAAUGCAACUAUGCAAAAUGAGCAUGCAGUAAUAUACUAUUAAAGGAUGUUGUAAUCUAUUAAUUUUUUUUGUGAUGAGUAGAACAUAUUAAUAAUGUGUAUAAUUUAAAAGGAAAAUUCCAAAUACUAUAGACUUAUUGUCAGCAUCACUCAAUACACAGGUGGCAGAAUGAAGUAUCUGAUGACCUUCUCACACUUAUUUCCCUUCCCUUCUCACCCUUGAUGAGAUGAUGAUCUUUGGUAAGACACAGUAAACUGACAAAGACUGUUACCAUGAAAGCAUUAAAGAUUUUCUAUGAAUAUUUGUGAAAUAAAGGCUUAUUUUGCGGAUUUGUUACUCUGAAUAAUCUAAACACUGUAAACUCACUCCGAGGAAUAUUGUGAAAAGCUACGGGCCCUUUCUGAUAAAGCAGAAAAUGAAGAAAAGAGCAGAGGAGUUAGAAAAGACCUGGAGAAAUAUAAGAAUGAACCCCACUCUGCUAAAACAAAUGCCACAGAAGACACAUUUUUGAAACAAAUAAAUGGGGUAAAGAGAAUUUUUCAUAAUAUAAAAGUAAUUCUUGAUUAUACAGAAUUAAUAACAGAUUUCUAUUGAAUAAAGAAGUCCCCAGGUGCAUUCAAAAUGAUUACUUUUCUCAUCAUUUAAUUCUUGCAAUUUGCAGGUCCUAAGAUGAGCUAUCUGUAAAUAUAAGAGUUUAUUAAAUAGGAUAUACAAAUAAAAUUCUUUGGUAUAUAUGCUGGUUAAAAUUUUAUGAAAUGUUCCAAAUUCUAAAAUUCUAAUAUUUUCAUGUUUUUCUGUAACAGUGAUAUUCUAGAGUUCCCUAAAUUCUGAGUACCACAUAAAAUUGCAUUUGAUUAAAUCGGUUUUCCUUGAUGGAAGAGAACAUCAUUUAAACGUUUGUGAUUUCUGACCUAUGGUUGCUCUCUGCUAAAUGUGAUUCAAAGGUCAAGACCAACUUAAAGCCAUGGAACACAGCACAAAUUCAUUAUCCAUUUUAAUUCCUGUAGUGACACAGUUAAGAUCCCAUGAAUAUCUGUAUCUCUCACCCAGAACUGUGAAGGAAAUCCAUCUCUCUGAUGUUGCCAAACCAUUCAGGCCUCCAUCAAUGAGAUUGCAGAGGCCUUCAAGGUUCACAAUAUUCACCAAGACAUCUAUGGAAAUACGCUAUUGCUUUCCUACGAUGCAAAUACAGAUCACACAAGAAGGAAAAGUUCCAUGUAUUUCUCACCACUAAAUGAAGCCGUUAAUAUAUGUCUUAACUCCAUGAACUAUGCAGCUUCCAAAACAACCAAGAAAAGGAGCCAACAAGUAGGAUUCGUUAUGUAAGUUCAUGAACUUUCUCCACUGGAAGGGGUUUUGGAAUUAAUUCAGCAAAGCCCCUUGUUUUAGAAUUAAGGUAAGUGAAGAUCAGAAAAUUUAAGUGACUCAAGAUUGCACAGCUCGUUAGAGGCAGAGCCAGGACAAAAGCUCAGGACUCCUGACUUCAGUCUAACCCACUAUACCAAUAAUUAGUUGCUAAGACAAUUUUGUAUUCCUAAGAUGUCUUUAGGUAUUAAAAGUCAACUACAAGAAGUGUAUAUUUCCCUAGACCAUGCAUUCUCAACAAGGGCUAUAUCACCCCCAGAGGCAUGAACAUGGGUUCUUGCGGAUCAAAAAAAUCUUAUAUGAGGGACCAGCCCAGUGGUGCAGUGAUUAAGUUUGCAUGCUCCUCUUCGGCGGCCUGGGGUUCACGGGUUCAGAUCCCGGGCACGGACUGACACACCACUCAUCAAGCUAUGCUGUGGUGGUGACCCAUAUACAAAAUAAAGGAAGAUUGGCACAGAUGUUAGUUCAGCAACAAUCUUCCUCAAGCAAAAAUAGGAAGACUGGCAACAGAUGUUAGCUCAGGAUCAAUCUGCCUCACCAAAAAACAAAAAAAGCCCCUUAAAUGUUAGAUAUUACAAUUGUCACAAUUGUUUGUAGUCUUCCUAAGGGCCACAGUAUCUAAUCAGAUAUGCAACUUGUCUAUGGCAUCCAAGUUUCAGGGUGAGGGAGCUGUGAGGUGGGAGAAGGAAGGGUUAGGAAAAGAACGUCUAGAAAAGUUCUUUCGGGGCAACAACUGUUAAAAAGUUGAGAAAGACUGCCCUGGACCAAAGUCCACGGUCAGGAUCUUAGGGAACUUGCCAAAACGUUGGCUGAGUACAAGUGCUGGAGGCUCAAUUCGUUUUUAGAGUUAAACCAGUAAGCUGGGAUCCAGAAGCAUGCUUUGCUGUUCUCAUCCAGUUUUGGUGACCUAUUAUGAAGCAUAAAAAUCUGCUUUUUAUAGUGCCAAACUCAGCUCUUCGUCAUCGUAUAACUAGAGGAUAAAUAAGAUGGAAGUUACACUGCGUGCUCAAUAUUAUUAGCAAGCAUGGCUUGAUGGUAUGCAGGUCCGCACCUGGGAUCCAAACCUGUGAACCCUGGACCGCAGAAGCAGAGCUCGUGAACCUAACCACUAUGUCUCCAGGCUGACCCCAGGGUGUUCAGUAUUUUAUCUGGAAAGCCUACCUCCAACAGACAAGUGUUAAGUGGAACCCCCACGUCAAGACUGAAUUCUCAACAUGGCCUGACUGCUGUGAGUUCUCAUCCAGCAGUUUGGUUGAAAUGAUACAUGGAAUGUUGUAGAAGAGCUGAAAAAACGCACAAGACCAUGGAGCAUCCCAGAGAUCAGCAACAACAGAAAGUGCCACCACCACCAGGUGGUUCUGACGGAUCCAGGGCCAUUCACUGGGGCUAGACCCAUUCUGGGGUUGUCUUUGGGAGCUGGGCCCAUGAAAGGAAGAGUUUUCCAAUGGACCUGGAAUCACCGUGGAGGUAUAGCCCCUGAAGGAGACACCAUGGAACAGAAAGCGAGAACAUACCGGGUUCCCCCUUCUUUCUACCCUCUGGUUUCCAACAGUUGCCCCCUUUGGCAAGGAAGCCUUGUAAAUGCAGUUCCCAGAAAUGCAGAACAAAGUAGAAGGGCAGGGAACAAAGCUAGGAGCCAACAGAUAAAUAAAUAACUUGGACAAAAUUAAAGCAGCUUCAUUUCUUUAGCACUUCGUUUAGUAUGUUACUGAGCACUGUAAACUCUAUCCUACACAUAAAGACACAAUUUUUCCCAAGCUAAGUAAACUUUGAAAUCUUUGUCCAUAGGAGUAAGGAUCGAAGUGGCCAUUGGGGACAUCAAAGCAAAGCGUUUCUCAGAACAUUUCAAAAAUUGCUGUGAGAUGGCUACUCAGGCUCCUAAUGGCAUUUGUGUUUCAGGAAAUGUAACUGAAUGGGAAAAUGGUGGAUGCCCCAUUGCAUUCUGCACUUCGUCUGUGUCAGAAUCUUAUGCUAGGUGCUUCCGCGUGUUUCACUUCAUCUUCAGAGUGGCCUAAAAGAGGAAUUCAUAUCUCUUGUGGGGAUAUAAGCUUUGAUAUCUUUAUCUACCUCUGAAAACCCCAAAUGAUGUCCUCCCUGUAGGACGUCCUUUGCAUCUGCUGUUGAGAUAUAAAAUCCUAGGGGAAGGGACUGAUGAAGAUCUGUUCAAUGGAAAGGAGCAAGCAGUGGCCACUUUAAGACCCCUGGGUCCUAGAAGCCAACAGUGCUUCAGUCUACUUCAUCUAUGAGAACUACCUCAUUAUUUGCAUCCAGGAAUGUCUGUGGAGAAAAUCUGCUCAUAUCUUGGUUGAAAAUGGCCUCUCUGGAACCUCAUGAUUUCCAAGUCCAAUACUCGACAGACAUUGAAGGAAGUUUCAUAUGUCAGUUUCAAAUUUUAAGAUGAAGUUUAGUUGGUUGAGUGUUAUAACUCACCCUGGGGUGUGUGCAUGUGUGUGUUGGGGGGUGUCAUUUGGCCUAUUAUCUAAAUCACAGGGAAUCUGAGAAAAAAUUAUCUAAGAAGGAGUAGUGGGAUUUGAAUAAGGCAAAAAUGAGAACACUAUUACUCAAAAAGAAGCAGAAUCAAACAGAGAAGAAAGGUAGAUAAGCAUAAAAACACUUGGCCUGAAGUCUCAAGCUACAAUCUCCAAGGCCCUAUUUCCUGAAC